rnacentral:rRNA from 1 species
CCUACGGGUGGCAGCAGUGAGGAAUAUUGGUCAAUGGGCGGGAGCCUGAACCAGCCAAGUCGCGUGAGGGAAGACGGUCCUAUGGAUUGUAAACCUCUUUAGGCGGGGAGCAAUGCCGGGCACGCGUGCCCGGAGGGAGAGUACCCGCAGAAUAGGCAUCGGCUACCUCCGUGCCAGCAGCCGCGGUAAUACGGGGGAUGCGGGCGUUAUCCGGAUUUAUUGGGUUUAAAGGGUGCGUAGGCGGAUGUUUAAGUCAGCGGUAAAAUGUCCGGGCUCAACCCUGGAACUGCGUUUGAAACUGUUCUUCUUGAGUGAAGGAGAGGAAGGCGGAAUUCCGGGUGUAGCGGUGAAAUGCGUAGAUAUACGGAGGAACACCAGUGGCGAAGGAGGCCUGCUGGACAUUAACUGACGCUGAGGCGCGAAAGCGUGGGGAGCAAACAGGAUUAGAUACCCGAGUAGUC